GGUAAUGAGCUCAGCAGCAGCGGUGUUGGAGGCACCUCCCUGCCAGGUGAUGAUUCGAGCAGCGGUGGUGCUGGACAUUCCCCCACACAAGGGCUGGAUCUAAAGCUCCUGUUGGGAAUUACAGUCCCUGCCUUCCUGGUGCUGGCUG